rnacentral:rRNA from 1 species
AUUGAACGCUGGCGGCAGGCCUAACACAUGCAAGUCGAGCGGAUGAAGGGAGCUUGCUCCUGGAUUCAGCGGCGGACGGGUGAGUAAUGCCUAGGAAUCUUCCUGGUAGUGGGGGAUAACGUCCGGAAACGGGCGCUAAUACCGCAUACGUCCUGAGGGAGAAAGUGUGGGAUCUUCGGACCUCACGCUAUCACAUGAGCCUAGGUCGGAUUAGCUAGUUGGUGGGGUAAAGGCCUACCAAGGCGACGAUCCGUAACUGGUCUGAGAGGAUGAUCAGUCACACUGGAAGUGAGACACGGUCCAGACUCCUACGGGAGGCAGCAGUGGGGAAUAUUGGACCAUGGGCGAAAGCCUGAUCCAGCCAUGCCGCGUGUGUGAAGAAGGUCUUCGGAUUGUAAAGCACUUUAAGUUGGGAGGAAGGGCAGUAAGUUAAUACCUUGCUGUUUUGACGUUACCAACAGAAUAAGCACCGGCUAACUUCGUG